rnacentral:rRNA from 1 species
AUUGAACGCUGGCGGCAGGCCUAACACAUGCAAGUCGAACGAGUGGCGGACGGGUGAGUAAUGUCUGGGAAACUGCCUGAUGGAGGGGGAUGACUACUGGAAACGGUAGCUCAUACAGCCUACCCUAGGCUGUGCCCAGAUGGGAUUAGCUAGUAGGUGGGGUAAAGGCUCACCUUGGCGAUGAUCCCUAGCUGGUCUGAGAGGAUGACCAGCCACACUGGAACUGAGACACUGUCCAGACGCCGACGUGAGGAAGCAGUGGGGAAGAUUGCACAAUGGGCGCAAGCCUGAUGCAGCCAUGCCGCGUGUAUGAAGAAGGCCUUCGGGUUGUAAAGUACUUUCAGCGGGGAGGCGUUACCCGCAGAAGAAGCAGCGGCUAACUCCGUGCCAGCAGCCGCGGUAAUUC